UACGGGGGGUGCGAGCGUUGUCCGGAAUCACUGGGCGUAAAGGGCGCGUAGGUGGUUUGAUAAGGGUGUGGUGAAAGUCCGGGGCUCAACCCCGGAUCUGCCGUGCCGACUGUCAAACUCGAGGACUGUAGAGGCAGACGGAAUUCCGGGUGUAGCGGUGGAAUGCGUAGAGAUCCGGAGGAAGACCGGUGGCGAAGGCGGUCUGCUGGG
rnacentral:rRNA from 1 species